CAAAUCACAGUUCUGUGAACUAGACAACAUAAUCAUAUUUCCACAUCAGCAUCAUUAAAGAAAUGCUAACAAAUCCAUACUCAAUGCAAAACACUAAACAAGCCUUAAAGAAAACUCUAAGGCAAUAAAAAAUAUAAUUGUUGCCUCCAUGAGCUGAUGGUGACGUGGAGGUAAGUUAUGACUACACAAAGUAAUAGCACUUAUUAAACAAUACAUAUUGCAUUGCUAUCAAAUAAUAAACACCAUAGAAGUGCAAAAAAGGAAGUGAGCAUGUCUUUCACCCAGGAAUGUGAGGCUGAAGGAAUUGGGUUUUGGUAGAGUUUCAGCCUUGGCCCAGCAAGAGACCCAACAUAGGCAGUGAAUAUAGACAACACAGGGCAGGCUCAAACAGGGUCUUAAGAUUGAGAUGAGGCUAGAACAUAAUUGGGGUCAUCCUGCAAAAUGAAGUAUGCUAGGAAGAGGCAUUUGAGUUUUAGACGAGGAGUAUAUGCCUUAAAUUUUGUUAAGUGGAAGCUUAACAUAAUUCAAGCAGCUUUUAAAAAUAUUAAGCAGUAUGCCUGGGAUAACAGGGAACAGCAGGACCUUAGGGGCCCAGAGCUGAAUCUGAGUCUGACUCUGGUACUUUCCUGGCUGGGCAGGCUCAGACCAUUUACUUAACCUCCAAGUUUUCAUUUAAUCAGCUGUUAACAUAAGGCUACGAAUACUGCAUUCUUGGGUUGCUAUGAGAAGACUUUUGAUAUUUAUGAGCACUUACUAUCUGCUUGUACUUCACUAAGAGUAGUAUAUAUCUAUUGUUUCAUUUAACCCUUUAUCUAUGUUUUUAGAAACUACUUAAAAUAUAUAUGACAUAAAAUUAGCCAUUUUAACCACUUUUAAGGGGAUAGUUGAUGACUGUUAACUACAUUCACAUUAUUUUACUGCCAACCAUCACCAGAGCUUUUUCUAUCUUGGAAAACUGAAGCUCUGUUGUCCAUUACACAAUUACUCCCCUUCUCCCUACUCUCCAACCCCUGACAACUGCCAUUUGACUUUCUAUGUCUAUGGCCAAAUAGGUACUUUAUUUAAGUACAGUCAUCCUACCAUGACUGUAUUAGUUCCUUGCCAUGUCUUCAAGGUUCAGUCAUGUUUUAGCAUGUGCUGGAAUUUCCUUCUAGUUUAAAGUGGGAUAAUCUGUUGAAUGUCUAACAUCAGUGUUUGUUCUAUCAUGAGAAAAUUGGACCUCUUUAAAGUUUAACUUGCCUAAAACAACACAAUUUGAAAGAGAAAAAUCUAGUCUUUGGGCCAAAGUAAUCUUACCCACAGUCCAUCCUCAUUUCCCCUGUGCAUCCUGCCGUACGGAGGUUGAGGGCUUAUUGCUGCACCUGGCCCAGGGCAGCUAUGUCAGUUGUUAUCGUCUCAGCCUGUAUUCCUCCAAAUCGGCCAGUCUCUUGCAUCAGAGUAGGAGAUUUUCUCUCCCCGCGAGCACAUGCCAGCUGACUCAUGAGGAAGGUGCUGCUACGUGGUUCUCUCCUGGCUGGCUUGCUCACUGCUGGCACAUGGGUGAAUACUGCUUCCUGCUUCCAGUUUUUGUUUUUAAACUAAUUGGAGUUCAUGAUCUAUAACUUGUAAAAGAAAGAAAUCUAAUUUGCUGAUUAGAUUAAAAUGUCCUUAUGGUAAUGAAAAAGAAAAAACUAGAAGUAUUUUUAAAUAUUUUAAAAUUGAGUAAAAUUAAUAAAUAAAACAAUACAUAUUUAAAGGAUAUAA